AGACGUCUACAUUAGAUACCCCCCGUAGUCCCAGCCGUAAACUAUGCGCGUUAGGUGUAUCGGUGACCACGAGUUACCGAGGUGCCGAAGGGAAACCGUGAAACGUGCCGCCUGGGAAGUACGGUCGCAAGGCUGAAACUUAAAGGAAUUGGCGGGGAGCACCACAACAGGUGGAGCCUGCGGUUUAAUUGGACUCAACGCCGGGAAGCUCACCGGAUAGGACAGCAGAAUGAUUGCCGGGCUGAAGACUCUGCAUGACUAGCUG
rnacentral:rRNA from 1 species